rnacentral:lncRNA from 10 species
AGUGCUGGACUGGGCUGAGCUAGACUGGGCAACUGUAUUCAGCUGGGCUGGCCUGGCCUCGGCUAAACUGGGUUCAGCUGGGCUGGGCUGAGCAGGCCUGAGCAGGAUUAGUUGAGCUGGUCGUAACUGGAUUUAACUAGCUAGGCUAGGCUUAACUGACUAAGCUGAUCUGGACUGUAUUCAUCUGGAUGAAGCUGGGGUGAGGUGGCUACUUUAGGUCCAGCUUUGCUGAGCUAAACUGGACCGGGCUAAAUUGAUCUGGACUGACCAUUCUCACCUGGCUAAGAGGAGCUGAGUCAGAAGCAAGCUGGUUGAGCUGGCUGGACUGAAAUAAGAGUUUGCUGCCUGCAAGGGGAGGUCCUGGGCUGACCUGGGCCAGGCUGAACCAGGCUGGCUUAGAGUGAACUUCAGAGGGCGACUCCCCCGCCUCCACACAGAGCCCAUCCGUCUUCCCCUUGACCCGCUGCUGCAAAAACAUUCCCUCCAAUGCCACCUCC